rnacentral:rRNA from 1 species
CAGUCGCCGCGGGAAUACAGAGGGUGCGAGCGUUAAUCGGAUUUACUGGGCGUAAAGCGUGCGUAGGCGGCUUUUUAAGUCGGAUGUGAAAUCCCUGAGCUUAACUUAGGAAUUGCAUUCGAUACUGGGAAGCUAGAGUAUGGGAGAGGAUGGUAGAAUUCCAGGUGUAGCGGUGAAAUGCGUAGAGAUCUGGAGGAAUACCGAUGGCGAAGGCAGCCAUCUGGCCUAAUACUGACGCUGAGAUACGAAAGCAUGGGGAGCAAACAGGAUUAGAUACCCCGGUAGUCCCUGUCUCUUAUAA